rnacentral:lncRNA from 1 species
UCCAAGUCUUUCUCCGCACCUACUUGCCUGGGGUUGGGGUCACCUCCCCCGAACGCGUCAUGCCGCCGCUCCCCUCCGACAGCCACCGCGUCCACCCGGCCAGCCUUGGCGACGCCGGCGUUAUCGCUUCCAUCCGGCCAGCCACCGCGCCACCACCUUCUCUCUCCCUCUUCGUCUCGCACAGCCAUCCACUGAGCCAACACCGCCGCGCGACCACGUUCCGCCAAGCUCUGGCCGUUAUCGGUGGCUCCGGUCACCGCUAGGAAUCCUACCGGCGUCAAGGCAACUAUCCCCCUAUUCGCCCUUUUCUAUUCCGGGUUGGGAUGGGGUUCGAAUGGGUGAAUGGAAUGGUUCUGGUGAAGAUGAAAAUACUGUUUUGUUAUUUUUCCUUUCUGUUGUAUCUUUCUGGCAAGUAUCAGUUUAAUGAUUCAAGUUCAUUGUUGAUGACUGGAGAUGGACAGAGAUGAGGGAGGAUAGUUUUAUUGUCUGUUAUGGUCUUUUCUGUUUUGUUAAUGCAGGGAGCCGAUCAUGGCGUAACAAGGAAAAUGAAACUAGGGAUGUGAUAUGCCUUGGACGGUGACGGAGAAAGAGGGACAUCCACACCAUAAUCAUAUUCAAACAGAGCAAUGCCGAGCAUAAAAAAUACAUACAAUACAUACAAUGCAGCGAGCUUUGAAGGAGUAAGGAUGCUUACCUGUUGAAGCCCCGCUUGUUUUGGUCAGCUUCGAACUUCCGGUAGUCUCUUCCUCCUCCUUCUGGCUGGCACCCUUCUCUGCAGGUGUAAAUGAAGAUGUCCUCCCAAGAAAUGGAUGAUCCUCUUCUCAGUAGUGCGGAGCGUUUUUUAUGCUUCCUAGUGUACUAACUACAAACGCACUCUAAACCUUUUCUUUCUCUUUUUUUUAGCUACAUUAAUUAUAUAAAACAAAACAAAAAAAUCAAAAAUAAUAAAAAAAAUUUAAAAUAAAAAUAAAAAUAAACUAAAUCUAAAAAAUAAAAAAAAGGGUAAAAAUAAAAAAAAACAAAAAUUAAUAAUUAUAAAAGGAAAAGUAAAUAAAAUAAAAUAAUAAAUAUAAAAAAGAUAAAAUAAAAUAAAAUAAAUAAAAAGAAAGGCAAUAAAAAUAAAAAAUAAAAACGAAAAUAAAAAUAAAUAAAUAAAUGCUAAAAACG